AUGGAUGAUUACCCAACCCUCUUGAAAGAGAGGGUAUUUAUAGCCUCCAGCGCUGGACCAAUGUCUCUUUAUUGGGCUGAUCAAACAGGCCCAACAAAGAGACUGUCAGGUUCUACGUGUGUAGUGAAGACCCGCACGUGGCCCCCAUCUGGAUGA